rnacentral:rRNA from 1 species
GUUUGAUCCUGGCUCAGGAUAAACGCCGGCGGCGUGCCUAACACAUGCAAGUCGAACGACCUUGUUGUCGCAAGAGAACGAGGGAGUGGCGGACGGGUGAGUAACACGUGGGUGACCUACCCUUUGGUGAGGAAUACCGGCGAGAAAUCGCCGACAAGACCGCGUAGGCUCUCUCACUAGAGCAGAGCUUCUCGCAAGCGAGGCGCCAGAGGAUGGGCCUGCGUCCGAUUAGCUUGUUGGUGGGGUAAUGGCCUACCGAGGCGACGAUCGGUAGCUGGUCUGAGAGGACGAACCGCCACGCUGGGAUUGAGAACGGCCCACACUCUUACGGGAGGCAGCAGUGAGGAAUUUUCCGCAGUGGGCGCGAGCCUGACCGAGCCACGCCGCGUGCAGGAGGAAGCUCUUCGGAGUGUAAACUGCUUUUAUCGGGGAAGAGAACAGACGGUACCCGAUGAAGAAGUCCCGGCUAACUACAUGCCAGCAGCCGCGGUAAUACGUAGGGGGCGAGCGUUGUCCGGAGUUACUGGGCGUAAAGCGCACGUAGGCGGUCUGCUAAGUUCGGAGUGACAGUCAUCAGCUUAACUGGUGAAGGACUUUGAAAACUGGCGGACUUGAGAGCGAAAGAGGGACAUGGAAUUCCGGGUGGAGCAGUGAAAUGCGUAGAGAUCCGGAGGAACACCAAAGGCGAAAGCAGUGUCCUGGCUCGUUUCUGACACUGAGGUGCGAAAGCCAGGGGAGCGAACAGGAUUAGAUACCCCGGUAGUCCUGGCCGUAAACGAUGACCA